rnacentral:rRNA from 1 species
UACGUAGGGUGCAAGCGUUGUCCGGAAUUAUUGGGCGUAAAGAGCUCGUAGGCGGUCUGUCGCGUCUGCCGUGAAAGUCCGGGGCUCAACUCCGGAUCUGCGGUGGGUACGGGCAGACUAGAGUGCAGUAGGGGAGACUGGAAUUCCUGGUGUAGCGGUGAAAUGCGCAGAUAUCAGGAGGAACACCGAUGGCGAAGGCAGGUCUCUGGGCUGUAACUGACGCUGAGGAGCGAAAGCAUGGGGAGCGAACAGG